rnacentral:rRNA from 1 species
AUACGGAGGGGGCUAGCGUUGUUCGGAAUUACUGGGCGUAAAGCGCACGUAGGCGGAUUAAAAAGUUAGAGGUGAAAUCCCAGGGCUUAACCCUGGAACUGCCUUUAAAACUAGUAGUCUAGAGUUCGAGAGAGGUGAGUGGAAUUCCAAGUGUAGAGGUGAAAUUCGUAGAUAUUUGGAGGAACACCAGUGGCGAAGGCGGCUCACUGGCUCGAUACUGACGCUGAGGUGCGAAAGCGUGGGGAGCAAACAGGAGUAGAUACCCCAGUAGUCC